rnacentral:rRNA from 1 species
UACAGAGGUCUCAAGCGUUGUUCGGAUUCAUUGGGCGUAAAGGGUGCGUAGGCGGCGCGGUAAGUCGGGUGUGAAAUCUCGGAGCUUAACUCCGAAACUGCAUUCGAUACUGCCGUGCUUGAGGACUGGAGAGGAGACUGGAAUUUAGGUGUAGCAGGUGAAAUGCGUAGAGUAUCAUGAGGAAGACCAGUGGCGAAGGCGGGUCUCUGGACAGUUCCUGACACUGAGACGAAGGCCAGGGGAGCAAACGGG